CUACUGCACUUCAGACCCAGGCCCUGCUCCUGCCCUCAGGCUUUUGUCUCAGGCCCCCUGUGCCAGUUCCUUCAAUGAGCAGCAGGGACCCCAGGUUAGAAAACACCCAUCUUGGAUCCCAAUGCAGAAACCAUGGCCUGCUCUUACUCUUUAUUCUGAACAAUGGCUUGCCUUGGAAAGUCAUGUGGCUGUGCCUGAGCGUCUAUUAAGAGUCCCUGUCAAGUUGGCCAGGUUGACCACCUACUGGGUUCCAUUUGUUCAGAUUCACUUGUGGAGUUGGUCCAGCCUUGACUUGUGGGGGAGAAAUGGUGCAGCUGGACAGCUACAGCCUUGGAGCGGAGGAAGAUAAACCUCAGCAGGGGCUCUUAAAGAUACAGGGACUCCACACU